AAAAUAGCGCCGGGCCUGCCUUGGCACGGUCACCGCGUUUGCGGUGUUUUCGGGCAGGUGACGAGGAAGAGGUUAUCGAAACAUUCGGCGGAUGCCUCUUGCCCCAUAAGUGCGGGGGCACAAGCUUUUUGCCAAAAGCGGGCAGUGAUGCGCGUAUACAAAGCAAAAGGCAAGC
rnacentral:ncRNA from 1 species